rnacentral:rRNA from 1 species
UCUGCCCUUGGGUACGGAAUAACUCAGAGAAAUUUGUGCUAAUACCGUAUAAUGUCUUCGGACCAAAGAUUUAUCGCCCAAGGAUGAGCCCGCGUAGGAUUAGGUAGUUGGUGAGGUAAAAGCUCACCAAGCCGACGAUCCUUAGCUGGUCUGAGAGGAUGAUCAGCCACACUGGGACUGAGACACGGCCCAGACUCCUACGGGAGGCAGCAGUGGGGAAUAUUGGACAAUGGGCGCAAGCCUGAUCCAGCAAUGCCGCGUGAGUGAUGAAGGCCUUAGGGUUGUAAAGCUCUUUUACCAGGGAUGAUAAUGACAGUACCUGGAGAAUAAGCUCCGGCUAACUUCGUGCCAGCAGCCGCGGUAAUACGAGGGGAGCUAGCGUUAUUCGGAAUUACUGGGCGUAAAGCGCGCGUAGGCGGUUUUUUAAGUCAGGGGUGAAAGCCCGGAGCUCAACUCCGGAACUGCCUUUGAAACUGGAAGACUUGAAUCUUGGAGAGGUCAGUGGAAUUCCGAGUGUAGAGGUGAAAUUCGUAGAUAUUCGGAAGAACACCAGUGGCGAAGGCGACUGACUG